rnacentral:piRNA from 1 species
UAGCAGAGGGUCUUACCAUCAUGUUCUGGUUU